GGACUGUGGCUCAGUGGUAGAGCACUUUCCUGGCACACAUGAGGCACUGGGUUCGAUCCUUAGCACCA
rnacentral:tRNA from 1 species